rnacentral:tRNA from 1 species
GGGAAUGUAGCUCAGUGGUAGAGUGCUUGCCUAGCAUGCAUGAAGUCCUGGGUUUGAUUCCUAGUACCA